UACAAGUAUUUUUCUGUCUUUUAGUGUGUAGUAUUUUCAUCAUUUAUUGUUUAAGUUUUGUUUCUUUGAUAGACUUGGUUAAUCUUUAACUUGCAUGUUAAGUGGAAGGAACUGUUUUGUUUGAUCAAGUAAGAAAACAUCAUUUUAAUUUUUUUCUUUUAGAUGUAACAGAGAUUUAAAAUGCUUCUGACAAUUCUGAUUCAACUCCUGAUCGUCGCAUCAGUAAAUGGUCAGACAGCUACGACCGCAGCAGACACCACCGCCGCAGCCACGAACGUCACAGCCACGAACGCCACAGCCACGACUGGAGUAGCUACGACCACAGCAGCUACGACUGCUGCGAACACGACGACAGCGGUGAUGACGACAAACUCAACAAACGCAAGCACCACUGCCACUAACACUGCUGCUGCACAUCCUGGGAUCAUGUACACGAGCAGUCUGGUUGUGUGUCAUUUCAGUGUUGUUCUCUACAAGUUCCUCUUUACAGUAUAACUUUGGUUGUGUUGCCUUUAUCUAUUUUUACAGAAUAUAUUGUCAUUGUUACCUACACAGAAACAUGGUAUGUAAUUUAUGUUUAAAAUAUAUAACCUAAUAAUCAUGUUAAGAAACACUGAUAGGUGUUUGAUUGAUAGGUUUAGACAAUCUAGAUGAUCCAGUGUGUUAAAAUGUUAUAAUAAACAUUUCGUGGAACAUU